UACGUAGGGAGCAAGCGUUGUCCGGAAUCAUUGGGCGUAAAGCGCGCGUAGGUGGCUUCGUAAGUCCGUUGUGAAAGUCAAAGGCUCAACCUUUGAAAGCCGAUGGAUACUGUGAAGCUAGAGUACGGAAGAGGCGAGUGGAAUUCCUGGUGUAGCGGUGGAAUGCGCAGAUAUCAGGAGGAACACCAAUAGCGAAGGCAGCUCGCUGGGACGUUACUGACACUGAGGCGCGAAAGCAUGGGGAGCGAACAGG
rnacentral:rRNA from 1 species